GCCUCGGUGAUCUAAUGGCUUAGGACACUCGUAUGGAAUACAAGAGAUCCAGAUUCAAGUCCCGGCCGAGGUA
rnacentral:tRNA from 1 species